AAAAGUAUAAAGUCCAAUAAAGCUACCCCAUGUAAUUUAAAAAAAGUAUUAUGGUGACCUAAAAAUCCGUCAACCAGAACGGUUACAUGUCUCUUCAAAUAUCUGAGAUCGGGUAUACGGGGAAACCCAACCUACUGGGAGAAUGAGUGAUAUUAAUAAAUUGAGAGUC
rnacentral:ribozyme from 1 species